UACCAGCACCCCGAGUGGUCGGGACGUUUAUUGGGCCUAAAGCAUCCGUAGCCGGUUCUACAAGUCUUCCGUUAAAUCCACCUGCUUAACAGAUGGGCUGCGGAAGAUACUAUAGAGCUAGGAGGCAGGAGAGGCAAGCGGUACUCAGUGGGUAGGGGUAAAAUCCGUUGAUCCAUUGAAGACCACCAGUGGCGAAGGCGGCUUGCCAGAAUGCGCUCGACGGUGAGGGAUGAAGGCUGGGGGAGCAAACCGG
rnacentral:rRNA from 1 species